rnacentral:sRNA from 1 species
GCUGGGUGUAGUGGCGCAUGCCUAUAAUCCCAGCAGCUCAGGAGGCUGAGACAGGAGACUCUCAAGUUCAAAGCCAGCCUCAGCAAAAGCGAGUUGAUAAGAAACUUAGUGAGACUCUGUUUCUA